rnacentral:rRNA from 1 species
GACGAACGCUGGCGGCGUGCUUAACACAUGCAAGUCGAACGAGUGGCGAACGGGUGAGUAAUAUAUCGGAACGUACCGAGUAAUGGGGGAUAACCAAUCGAAAACAUGGCUAAUACCGCAUAUUAUUCGAGCGGCCGAUAACUGGUUAGCUAGUUGGUGGGGUAAAGGCCUACCAAGGCGACGAUCAGUAGCUGGUCUGAGAGGACGAUCCGCGACACUGGGACGGAGACACGGCCCAGACUCCUACGGGAGGCAGCAGUGGGGAAUUUUGGCCAAUGGAGGCAACCCUGAUCCAGCCAUGCCGCGUGUAUGAAGAAGGCCUUCGGGUUGUAAAGUACUUUUGUUAGAGAAGCGGUACCUAAAGAAUAAGCACCGGCUAACUACGUGCCAGCAGCCGCGGUAAUAC